GGCGAGCGGGUGAGUAAUGCAUCGGAACGUAUCCCGUAGUGGGGGAUAACGCCGGGAAACCGGCGCUAAUACCGCAUAUGCUCUACGGAGGAAAGUGGGGGACCGCAAGGCCUCACGCUAUGGGAGCGGCCGAUGUCCGAUUAGCUUGUUGGUGGGGUAAUGGCUCACCAAGGCUUCGACGGGUAGCUGGUCUGAGAGGAUGAUCAGCCACACUGGAACUGAAACACGGUCCAGACUCCUACGGGAGGCAGCAGUGGGGAAUCUUGCGCAAUGGACGAAAGUCUGACGCAGCCACGCCGCGUGAGUGAAGAAGGCCUUCGGGUUGUAAAGCUCUGUCGGACGGGACGAAAAUCCAUUAGGUUAACAGCCUAGUGGCCUGACGGUACCGUCAAAGGAAGCACCGGCUAACUUCGUGCCAGCAGCCGCGGUAAUACGAAGGGUGCAAGCGUUGCUCGGAAUUAUUGGGCGUAAAGGGUAGGUAGGUGGUCUCAUUUGUCUGGGGUGAAAUCCUUGAGCUUAACUCAAGAAGUGCCCUAGAAACGGUGAGACUAGAGUUCUGGAGAGGGUCGUGGAAUUCCCGGUGUAGCGGUGAAAUGCGUAGAGAUCGGGAGGAACACCAGAGGCGAAGGCGGCGACCUGGACAGAUACUGACACUCAACUACGAAAGCGUGGGGAGCAAACAGGAUUAGAUACCCUGGUAGUCCACGCUGUAAACGAUGGGUACUAGAUUUAGUGGGUCUUGACCCCCGCUGAAU
rnacentral:rRNA from 1 species